AACGAACGCUGGCGGCAUGCCUAACACAUGCAAGUCGAACGAGACCUUCGGGUCUAGUGGCGCACGGGUGCGUAACGCGUGGGAAUCUACCCUCAGGUUCGGAAUAACUCAGAGAAAUUUGAGCUAAUACCGGAUGAUGACGUAAGUCCAAAGAUUUAUCGCCUGAGGAUGAGCCCGCGUAGGAUUAGGUAGUUGGUGAGGUAAAGGCUCACCAAGCCGACGAUCCUUAGCUGGUCUGAGAGGAUGAUCAGCCACACUGGGACUGAGACACGGCCCAGACUCCUACGGGAGGCAGCAGUGGGGAAUAUUGGUCAAUGGGCGAAAGCCUGAUCCAGCAAUGCCGCGUGAGUGAUGAAGGCCUUAGGGUUGUAAAGCUCUUUUACCCGGGAUGAUAAUGACAGUACCGGGAGAAUAAGCUCCGGCUAACUCCGUG
rnacentral:rRNA from 1 species